UGGGGAAUUUUGGACAAUGGGCGAAAGCCUGAUCCAGCAAUGCCGCGUGUGUGAAGAAGGCCUUCGGGUUGUAAAGCACUUUUGUCCGGAAAGAAAUCCUUGGCUCUAAUACAGUCGGGGGAUGACGGUACCGGAAGAAUAAGCACCGGCUAACUACGUGCCAGCAGCCGCGGUAAUACGUAGGGUGCAAGCGUUAAUCGGAAUUACUGGGCGUAAAGCGUGCGCAGGCGGUUUGCUAAGACCGAUGUGAAAUCCCCGGGCUCAACCUGGGAACUGCAUUGGUGACUGGCAGGCUAGAGUAUGGCAGAGGGGGGUAGAAUUCCACGUGUAGCAGUGAAAUGCGUAGAGAUGUGGAGGAAUACCGAUGGCGAAGGCAGCCCCCUGGGCCAAUACUGACGCUCAUGCACGAAAGCGUGGGGGAGCAAAACAGGAUUAGAUACCCUGGGUAGUCCACGCCCUAAAACGAUGUCAACUAGUUGUUGGGGAUUCAUUUCCUUAGUAACGUAGCUAACGCGUGAAGUUGACCGCCUGGGGAGUACGGUCGCAAGAUUAAAACUUAAAUGAAUUGACGGGGUCAUAGCUGUUUCCU
rnacentral:rRNA from 1 species